rnacentral:rRNA from 1 species
UACGUAGGGUGCGAGCGUUGUCCGGAAUUAUUGGGCGUAAAGGGCUCGUAGGCGGUCUGUCGCGUCGGGAGUGAAAACUCAGGGCUUAACCCUGAGCCUGCUUCCGAUACGGGCAGACUAGAGGUAUGCAGGGGGAGAACGGAAUUCCUGGUGUAGCGGUGGAAUGCGCAGAUAUCAGGAGGAACACCGGUGGCGAAGGCGGUUCUCUGGGCAUUACCUGACGCUGAGGAGCGAAAGUGUGGGGAGCGAACAGG